UGGGGAAUCUUGCACAAUGGGCGAAAGCCUGAUGCAGCAACGCCGCGUGGGGGAUGAAGCUUCUCGGAGUGUAAACCCCUUUCGACCCGGAAGAAUGUCCGCAAGGACUUGACGGUACGGGUAUAAGAAGCCCCGGCUAACUACGUGCCAGCAGCCGCGGUAAUACGUAGGGGGCCAGCGUUGCUCGGAAUUACUGGGCGUAAAGGGUCCGUAGGCGGUGUGGCAAGUCGGGAGUGAAAUCUCUGGGCUUAACCCAGAGGCUGCUUCCGAAACUGCCGUGCUAGAGUGUGAGAGAGGCGAGUGGAAUUGCGGGUGUAGCGGUGAAAUGCGUAGAUAUCCGCAGGAACAUCCGAGGCGAAAGCGGCUCGCUGGAUCACAACUGACGCUGAGGGACGAAAGCGUGGGGAUCAAACAGGAUUAGAUACCCUGGUAGUCCACGCCGUAAACGAUGAAUGCUAGCCGUUGGAUAGCUUGCUAUUCAGUGGCGCAGCUAACGCAUUAAGCAUUCCGCCUGGGGAGUACGGCCGCAAGGUUG
rnacentral:rRNA from 1 species